rnacentral:rRNA from 1 species
AUUGAACGCUGGCGGAAUGCUUUACACAUGCAAGUCGAACGGCAGCACGGACUUCGGUCUGGUGGCGAGUGGCGAACGGGUGAGUAAUGUAUCGGAACGUGCCCAGUCGUGGGGGAUAACGUAGUGAAAAUUACGCUAAUACCGCAUACGAUCUAUGGAUGAAAGCGGGGGAUCGCAAGACCUCGCGCGAUUGGAGCGGCCGAUAUCAGAUUAGGUAGUUGGUGGGGUAAAGGCCCACCAAGCCAACGAUCUGUAGCUGGUCUGAGAGGACGACCAGCCACACUGGAACUGAGACACGGUCCAGACUCCUACGGGAGGCAGCAGUAGGGAAUUUUGGACAAUGGGCGAAAGCCUGAUUCAGCCAUUCCGCGUGCAGGAUGAAGGCCCUCGGGUUGUAAACUGCUUUUGUACAGAACGAAAAGGUUUCUAGUAAUACUAGGAGCUCAUGACGGUACUGUAAGAAUAAGCACCGGCUAACUACGUGCCAGCCGCCGCCGUAA